CAGGGCACAGCAUGGACAUGAGGGUCCCCACUCAGCUCCUGGGGCUCCUGCUGCUCUGCCUACCAGGUAUCAGAUGUGACAUUCAGAUGACCCAGUCUCCAUCCUCCGUGUCUGCAUCUCCAGGAGAAACUGUGACCAUCUCUUGCCGGGCCAGUCAGGGCAUUAGCAAUUAUUUAUCCUGGUACCAGCAGAAACCAGGGAAACCUCCUAAGUCCCUGAUCUAUGCAGCAUCCAACUUAUACCCCGGGGUCUCAUCGAGGUUCAGUGGCAGUGGGUCUGGAACAGAUUUUUCUCUCACCAUUAGAGGCCUGGAGACUGAUGAUGCUGCAACAUAUUACUGUCAUCAGGGUUAUAGUACCCCUCACACAGUGUUACAAGGCCGAACAAAAACCCCCCAGGGAAGCAGAUGUGGGAGGCGGGGCUGCCGCAGCUGCUCCUCCUGGAGCUGCACCUCCUGGUGCCUCCAUCUGCCCAGAGCUUUUCUUAGAGACAGCCAAGCUGUGAAGGUUUUGGUAGACAGGGCCAGGGAGGCUCCUCGGUGUUCUAACUCUUCCUUCUCAGCCUCAGCAGUGCAGACAUGA